rnacentral:sRNA from 1 species
GCAUUGUUGGAUAUCAAUGGCGGAGUACAGCAGUAACUUGGCAUUGAUAAGUAUGAAUCUUCCAAAAGCUUGGAAAGCACAUUAUUUAAUGAUGCAACCUCAGACAAGCCCAAAAAAAAUAAUGCUGUUAUGAAAUUAAUGUUGAACAACUACCCAUGGAAGCUUUGACUCUUUGCAUGGAGGAAUAUUGAUAGACAGUAGGAGAUUAGAUAUGACUUUGGACUCUGUUGCAGCACUGUGAUAGAGCAUUCUAGAGAGGGACACAAUGGUAACUCAUGUAGAUGUUCCACUAACUAGUUAAGAUGGGCUCUUAACUGAUACUACAGUCUACUCAGGACCAUGUAACUUCACAUGUUCAACAGCUUUGGCAUUUUACUACAGGGAGGAAUUUGAAGGCAAAUCCUGUUGAAGCACACCCAGAUGUUCCACAGAUUCUGCAGAACAGUGAAGAUCUGUUGCAGCACAUUAUUACCGUAUAUACUUGUUCAACAGAUUCAACAGGUCAUAAAGGACCAUGUUGCAGAAUAUGUUCAACAGCCUUGCAUAGAAUAUGAGAUAGAAGCUUGUUAUGGUAGUAGCAUCAGCAUUGUCUGGAAGGAACUAUCAGUGAAGAUUCUAUUGAAGAACACAAGGAUUAUGUCCCAAGUGGUAUAGAAUCAGUGGAUAAACCAUCAUGCACCACAUUACCAUCAAAGAAAAAAUGGACAAUGGAAUAGGACAUUUGAAUUUUAUAUGGACUUUAAAGAUUAAAGUGUAUCAAGAGAGGCAGAAGCACUGAAAGUAAAAAAACAAUUGCAAAUUUCUUGCUGAUAGAAGUAUUCAUCAGAAAAAGAGUAAAAUGCAACAUAUGCUGAGACUUAAUCAGCAGAUACGAAAGCUGAUUCCAAUGAGCCCCCGUUAAACGUAAUGGCGGAAGAUGAGGAUGCAAAUUUAGGACGUUUGGUCUUGCAGUAACAAAUGAUUCUGUAAUAAACCCUUUAAAUUUAAACAGUAAUUGGAAGAUUAUCUCCUCAUGAAAUACCCUGGACUUAUUUAUAAACAAGAGUCGUCUAUAUGCUUCAUGUUUUAGAUUGAAGAUUGAAUGUGUAUGUGUUAUAUCUGUAUUACUCUCUCUGCUUCCCAUCUGCAACAUGUGUACCUGUGGUGUAACCUCAUGGUUUAGUUUUUAUUCGUUUUAAAAUCUUAAUAUCAGCAAUAAGAUGUUGUAAUUUCUUAUGUGUUACUUUUAUGUUUAAGGUCAAGUGAACAUGAUUGAAAUAUGUAUUGCAUAUAUUUUAAAAGUAUAUUACAAUGUAAUUUAGAAUACUUAACGUUUUAAAAAAGGACAAUCAUAUUAAUAUCUAAUAUUUACAUGUAGUGUAUAUUUCCCCUUAUGUUUGCAGAGGACAUCUGUGACGUUCAAUUUCUCAUGACACCUGUGGGUUUUAGCUCUGCUGGCCAUAGACCAGAAGAGUGUAUGCGAUGAUCUGUUUGUGUAGCUUUCUGUUUGUCUCUCUGUGAACAAUUUUCAAAUGCUACUACUAUUACAGCUAUCAAGAAUGUUCACAUAUAUAUACAUGUCUUGUGUUUGAAAUCAUGCAUGACACAUUUUUCUAACUUUGAGAAAUAGAAUAUAUAAUCUUUAACUGACAAAAGUGUUCCCUUAUUAAUAUUGUUUUACCUCUGCAAAUAAAGGUAUCAUGGUAUAAAG